rnacentral:rRNA from 1 species
UACGGGAGGCAGCAGGGGGAAUAUUGCACAAUGGGCGCAAGCCUGAUGCAGCCAUGCCGCGUGUAUGAAAAGGCCUUCGGGUUGUAAAGUACUUUCAGUCGUGAGGAAGGUGUUAAGGUUAAUAACCUUAGCAAUUGACGUUAGCGACAGAAGAAGCACCGGCUAACUCCGUGCCAGCAGCCGCGGUAAUACGGAGGGUGCGAGCGUUAAUCGGAAUUACUGGGCGUAAAGGGCACGCAGGCGGUUAAUAAGUUGGAUGUGAAAUCCCCGGGCUUAACCUGGGAAUGGCAUUCAAGACUGGUUAGCUAGAGUCUUGUAGAGGGGGUAGAAUUCCAUGUGUAGCGGUGAAAUGCGUAGAGAUGUGGAGGAAUACCGGUGGCGAAAGGCGGCCCCUGGACAAAGACUGGACGCUCAUGUGCGAAAGCGUGGGAGCAAACAGGGAUUAGAUACC